GACUUAGUGAGGAGUGAUUCGCAAACAAAAGUCCUAGGGUCGAAACACGGCAAGACUCCUAGGGCUUUUUAUUU
rnacentral:sRNA from 20 species